rnacentral:lncRNA from 1 species
AUGUGGAGGCUAUAUACAGGGUAUUACGGUACAGAGUCAAUGUGGAGGCUAUAUACAGGGUGUUACGGUACAGAGUCAAUGUGGAGGCUAUAUACAGGGGGUACCGGUACAGAGUCAAUGUGGAGGCUAUAUACAGGGUGUUACGGUACAGAGUCAAUGUGGAGGCUAUAUACAGGGUGUUACGGUACAGAGUCAAUGUGGAGGCUAUAUACAGGGUAUUACGGUACAGAGUCAAUGUGGAGGCUAUAUACAGGGUAUUACGGUACAGAGUCAAUGUGGAGGCUAUAUACAGGGUAUUACGGUACCGAGUCAAUGUGGAGGCUAUAUACAGGGUAUUACGGUACAGAGUCAAUGUGGAGGCUAUAUACAGGGUGUUACGGUACAGAGUCAAUGUGGAGGCUAUAUACAGGGUAUUACGGUACAGAGUCAAUGUGGAGGCUAUAUACAGGGUAUUACGGUACAGAGUCAAUGUGGAGGCUAUAUACAGGGUAUUACGGUACAGAGUCAAUGUGGAGGCUAUAUACAGGGUAUUACGGUACAGAGUCAAUGUGGAGGCUAUAUACAGGGUAUUACAGUACAGAGUCAAUGUGGAGGCUAUAUACAGGGUAUUACGGUACAGAGUCAAUGUGGAGGCUAUAUACAGGGUAUUACGGUACAGAGUCAAUGUGGAGGCUAUAUACAGGGUAUUACGGUACAGAGUCAAUGUGGAGGCUAUAUACAGGGUAUUACGGUACAGAGUCAAUGUGGAGGCUAUAUACAGGGUAUUACGGUACAGAGUCAAUGUGGAGGCUAUAUACAGGGUAUUACGGUACAGAGUCAAUGUGGAGGCUAUAUACAGGGGGUACCGGUACAGAGUCAAUGUGGAGGCUAUAUACAGGGUAUUACGGUACAGAGUCAAUGUGGAGGCUAUAUACAGGGUAUUACGGUACAGAGUCAAUGUGGAGGUUAUAUACAGGGUGUUACGGUACAGAGUCAAUGUGGAGGCUAUAUACAGGGGGUACCGGUACAGAGUCAAUGUGGAGGCUAUAUACAGGGUAUUACGGUACAGGGUCAAUGUGGAGGCUAUAUACAGGGGGUACCGGUACAGAGUCAAUGUGGAGGCUAUAUACAGGAGGUACCGGUACAGAGUCAAUGUGGAGGCUAUAUACAGGGUAUUACGGUACAGAGUCAAUGUGGAGGCUAUAUACAGGGUAUUACGGUACAGAGUCAAUGUGGAGGCUAUAUACAGGGUAUUACGGUACAGAGUCAAUGUGGAGGCUAUAUACAGGGUAUUACGGUACAGAGUCAAUGUGGAGGCUAUAUACAGGGUGUUACGGUACAGAGUCAAUGUGGAGGCUAUAUACAGGGGGUACCGGUACAGAGUCAAUGUGGAGGCUAUAUACAGGGUAUUACGGUACAGGGUCAAUGUGGAGGCUAUAUACAGGGUAUUACGGUACAGGGUCAAUGUGGAGGCUAUAUACAGGGUAUUACGGUACAGAGUCAAUGUGGAGGCUAUAUACAGGGUAUUACGGUACAGAGUCAAUGUGGAGGCUAUAUACAGGGUAUUACGGUACAGAGUCAAUGUGGAGGCUAUAUACAGGGUAUUACGGUACAGAGUCAAUGUGGAGGCUAUAUACAGGGUGUUACGGUACAGAGUCAAUGUGGAGGCUAUAUACAGGGGGUACCGGUACAGAGUCAAUGUGGAGGCUAUAUACAGGGUAUUACGGUACAGAGUCAAUGUGGAGGUUAUAUACAGGGUGUUACGGUACAGAGUCAAUGUGGAGGCUAUAUACAGGGGGUACCGGUACAGAGUCAAUGUGGAGGCUAUAUACAGGGUAUUACGGUACAGGGUCAAUGUGGAGGCUAUAUACAGGGGGUACCGGUACAGAGUCAAUGUGGAGGCUAUAUACAGGAGGUACCGGUACAGAGUCAAUGUGGAGGCUAUAUACAGGGUAUUACGGUACAGAGUCAAUGUGGAGGCUAUAUACAGGGUAUUACGGUACAGAGUCAAUGUGGAGGCUAUAUACAGGGUAUUACGGUACAGAGUCAAUGUGGAGGCUAUAUACAGGGUAUUACGGUACAGAGUCAAUGUGGAGGCUAUAUACAGGGUGUUACGGUACAGAGUCAAUGUGGAGGCUAUAUACAGGGGGUACCGGUACAGAGUCAAUGUGGAGGCUAUAUACAGGGUAUUACGGUACAGGGUCAAUGUGGAGGCUAUAUACAGGGUAUUACGGUACAGGGUCAAUGUGGAGGCUAUAUACAGGGUAUUACGGUACAGAGUCAAUGUGGAGGCUAUAUACAGGGUAUUACGGUACAGAGUCAAUGUGGAGGCUAUAUACAGGGUAUUACGGUACAGAGUCAAUGUGGAGGCUAUAUACAGGGUAUUACGGUACAGAGUCAAUGUGGAGGCUAUAUACAGGGUGUUACGGUACAGAGUCAAUGUGGAGGCUAUAUACAGGGGGUACCGGUACAGAGUCAAUGUGGAGGCUAUAUACAGGGGGUACCGGUACAGAGUCAAUGUGGAGGCUAUAUACAGGGUAUUACGGUACAGGGUCAAUGUGGAGGCUAUAUACAGGGUAUUACGGUACAGAGUCAAUGUGGAGGCUAUAUACAGGGGGUACCGGUACAGAGUCAAUGUGGAGGCUAUAUACAGGGUAUUACGGUACAGGGUCAAUGUGGAGGCUAUAUACAGGGUAUUACGGUACAGGGUCAAUGUGGAGGCUAUAUACAGGGUAUUACGGUACAGAGUCAAUGUGGAGGCUAUAUACAGGGUAUUACGGUACAGAGUCAAUGUGGAGGCUUUAUACAGGGUGUUACGGUACAGAGUCAAUGUGGAGGCUAUAUACAGGGUAUUACGGUACAGAGUCAAUGUGGAGGCUAUAUACAGGGGGUACCGGUACAGAGUCAAUGUGGAGGCUAUAUACAGGGUGUUACGGUACAGAGUCAAUGUGGAGGCUAUAUACAGGGUAUUACGGUACAGAGUCAAUGUGGAGGCUAUAUACAGGGUAUUACGGUACAGAGUCAAUGUGGAGGCUAUAUACAGGGGGUACCGGUACCGAGUCAAUGUGGAGGUUAUAUACAGGGGAACCGGUACAGAGUCAAUGUGGAGGCUAUAUACAGGGUGUUACGGUACAGAGUCAAUGUGGAGGCUAUAUACAGGGUAUUACGGUACAGAGUCAAUGUGGAGGCUAUAUACAGGGUAUUACGGUACAGAGUCAAUGUGGAGGCUAUAUACAGGGUGUUACGGUACAGAGUCAAUGUGGAGGCUAUAUACAGGGUAUUACGGUACAGAGUCAAUGUGGAGGCUAUAUACAGGGUAUUACGGUACAGAGUCAAUGUGGAGGCUAUAUACAGGGUAUUACGGUACAGAGUCAAUGUGGAGGCUAUAUACAGGGUAUUACGGUACAGAGUCAAUGUGGAGGCUAUAUACAGGGUAUUACGGUACAGAGUCAAUGUGGAGGCUAUAUACAGGGGGUACCGGUAUAG